rnacentral:tRNA from 4 species
GGGCGGGUGGCGGAAUGGCAGACGCGCAAGACUUAAAAUCUUGUGAGAGCAAUCUCGUGAGGGUUCGAGUCCCUCUCCGCCCA